CAGUCGAGCGGAACGAUCCUAGCUUGCUAUGAGGGGUCAAGCGCCGGACGGGUGAGUAACGCAUAUGAAUCUGCCCGGUUGUGGGGGAUAACCUGGGUGAAACCCAGGCUAAUACCGCAUACAUCCUACGGGGGAAAGCAGGGGAUCUUCUGACCUUGCGCUAUCGGAUGAGCCUAUGUCGGAUUAUCUGGUUGGUGAGGUAAUGGCUCACCAAGGCGACGAUCCGUAGCUGGUCUGAGAGGAUGAUCAGCCACAUCGGGACUGAAACACGGCCCGAACUCCUACGGGAGGCAGCAGUGGGGAAUAUUGGACAAUGGGCGCAAGCCUGAUCCAGCCAUGCCGCGUGUGUGAAGAAGGGCUUCGGGUUGUAAAGCACUUUCAGUGGGGAAGAAAUCCUCGGGCCUAAUACCCUCGAGGGAGGGAAUCUCCCACAGAAAAAGCACCGGCUAACUCCGUGGCCGCAGCCGCGGUAAUACGGAAGGUGCGAGCGUUAAUCCGAAUUACUGGGCGUAAAGCGCGCGUAGGGGGGCUGGGUAAGCCGGUUGUGAAAGCCCCGGGCUCAACCUGG
rnacentral:rRNA from 1 species